rnacentral:snRNA from 1 species
CUACUGAUCUGGCAGGGGAAUACCACGGUCAAAUAAGUGGUUUGCACAGGGUCAGGUUUAUCCACAAGAUUCUGGGUAUGUAGAACCUUGCAAUUUACACAAACGUGGGAAACUCAAAUGCAUAAUUUGAAGCAUUAUGUAUGGGACUGCAUU